rfam:Cucumis sativus cultivar 9930 chromosome 6, whole genome shotgun sequence.
UUGGUUGCUGGUGUAGCAUUAUCAAGAUUCACAUUCAAAUGUGUUGGGGCUACAUUAUUCCUGCACAUUUCUUUGCAACUGAGAAUCUUGAUGAUGCUGCAUCGGCAAUCAA